GAGUUUGAUCCUGGCUCAGAGCGAACGCUGGCGGCAGGCUUAACACAUGCAAGUCGAGCGCUCGUAGCAAUACGAGAGCGGCAGACGGGAGAGUAACACGUGGGAACGUACCCUUCUGUUCGGAAUAAAGCAAGGAAACUUGGGCUAAUAGCAGAUAAUACCGAGAAUAGAACAGGUUAUCAAGCUGAAACAAUAUGAAAAAGAGAAAACCGAACCGACAAAAUAAUAUGCGACACACAACGCACAGAAAUCGUAAGAUUAUAAAUUAUAUAUUAAAAUUAAAAUUAGUAGAUUAAUGUAGUUUUGUAUGGAAAUUACUCCAACUGGGAGUAGAAGUGUCAGCUCUAUACGGUUUUGCCUGGUCCGCGGGCGUGGCUUUUUUUGCCUUAGUAGCUAUAACACUCGACAUAUGCGGGUGGGAUGUGAUAUAACCAGCGAUAUAUAUACAAGGGAUGAACCUAAAACAAAA
rnacentral:rRNA from 1 species